CUUUAUCUAGUUCUGCAAAUGCUACUCCUGAAUUUGAAGGCCGUGGAGGAGAAGAACUUGGCACAGAGAUAGCAAAUACCCUCUACAGAGUAUUUAGCAGUGAGAGCUGUGUAGACUUGAAAUCACUUUGUAUUAAUCCCAGAGAGCACUGCUGGGUUCUCUAUGUUGAUGUAUUGUUACUGGAAUGUGGUGGCAACCUCCUUGAUGCAAUCUCUAUCGCAGUGAAGGCAGCUCUCUUUAAUACAAGGAUACCCAAAGUGCGUGUUCUGGAGGAUGAAGAAGGUUCUAAAGAGAUUGAGCUGUCUGAUGACCCUUAUGAUUGUAUUCGGCUUAACGUGGAUAAUGUGCCCUGCAUUGUCACACUAAGCAAAAUUGGAUAUAGGCAUGUGGUGGAUGCUACCCUUCAGGAAGAAGCUUGUUCCUUGGCCAGCCUGCUUAUUUCUGUGACCAGUAAAGGCGCCCUCACUUCUAUGAAGAAAGUGGGGAAAGGCAGCCUUGAUCCUGAGAGUAUUUUUGAAAUGAUGGAGACGGGAAAAAGAGUAGGCAAGUCAUUGCACGUUGCCCUUCAGAAGAUUUUGGAUGAAGAAGAGAGUUUGGGGACCUCACGGCAGAAAGUUGGAUUUCUAGGAUGAGUUUUUAUUAAACGUUCAAAACUGUUUUUAAUUGAUUGUGCAAUCCUUGUCACUUUGUAUAUAGAAAAAGGUUUUUGGGUUUUUUUUUGUUCCAGUACCUUUAUCCUUCUGGCUGAGAGACUUUUAAAAAAUGUUACUAAGCAUAAAGAAAGCUACAGUUAAAUGCGAGCAAGCAAAUUUGAGAUGUUUUCCAUCUGGGUAGCUGUCGGCACCUAGGAAGUGUGCAAUUGAUGCAGUUGCCUGGGAAGUGCUUGUGUCUGUUUUCAAGAGCCACUGGUGUAGGUUCUGCUUAAUUCUGUUUCCUUGUGCUCCACUCACUUCUGCAGAGCAGCUGCUGUGUUCAAGGGUGUGUAUGGGGGUGUCCUCAGUGCAGCAUAAGUCAGGUUUUGAGCCUCUUGAAGUUUUUUUUUUGGGUCACCAGACAGAUGAGAACAGCACUUUUUAAAGAAGGAAUUCUUCCUUUAAAUUAUCUUACUUUGAAUAAAGUGUGGUUACGUUUUGCUAUAAAUAUGUGGUCCAAAGUUUCUAAUUCAUAUUUUAAACCGAGAUUUCUUUGCUUACAAGAACUCUGCCUGUCCCUUUUGCCAACAGGUACAAUAGUAACCUAGCCAAAACCUCACCCAGUGGCUAGGGAGAAGGAGAAUGGCUAAGGUAGAAGGGAAAAUAAGUUAAUUUUUUCGGAGUUUGAUAAUUCAGCCACUACUGUAAUGAGCAGGCAGGUUUAAAAACAUAGAAAAUAAAAAAAUUGUCCUACCAAAUUUGCCCAAGAUGUCUGUUUUGAAGACAUGGGAUUUUUUUUAGUGCCUUAAGUAAUGGGUUAGGUAUAUUAUGAUAGUGUUACAUAGUAAUACGGGCAAGAAGUGAGAAUGAUUAUAUAUAUAUAUAUAUAUAAAAUCUUUAAUUACUCCAGUGGAUUCAUACAAUGUGAAGCAAAGGCUAACCUGGACAUCAGCUUUACAGUAGCUGUGAUCCAUUCCUUGCCACGCAAAGCUACUUGUAGGAAUAUAGAAAGAAAACUGAAGGGAGAAAAAACAUUUACAAUACCUUAGACUUAACCACAGGCAGUUUUUCUUUGGUCAUGUAUUGUUUAGUGUUUCAGAAAAUGCUUUGUCUAAAUGAGGAUUGUGAGUCUUAAACCACAAAUGUUCUCUGAAUAGCGGUUGCCUGUUUUAUUACAGAUUUGUAGUUGGAUACCAAAAGGCUGCCCAGAGUUACUUCCAGGGUGAAUUUUGUAACAUGGUAAUAAUAGAGAAUUUCUGCGUAGCCUUCCAGCUGAAGGAUCUCCAAGCGUUUUGCAAGUUACAUCAUUUAAGAUGCUUCUUUUACCCUGUCCAGAUCCCUUUAAUUUUAAAUAGUUUGUUAUGGGAGCUGGGGUGGGGGGAGAAGAAACCUCACUGUAUCAAGCCUGUUAAGUGACACCUCCGUGGAGAUGAAUGUAUUUGCAUUCCCUCUCUACUUCUUACUAAGCAUGGCAAAUAUUUAGCCCGUCUGAGAUCUAGCCUAUGUGCUCAAGGUACCUAAAAAGCAAACUCUUGCUACCUGAGCAUCCAUCUCUGCUGCCAGCACAGGGAAGCUUGUGGAGCAGCUGUUUAUACAAAAAUGACUACCCCAGUCACAAAAUACUUGCUGCCAAGCACUUUCUGACAGUGUAAGUAUAAAUUAACAUGGUGCAAGUAUCUGCAGUGCCUCCUCUAACCAAGCAUCUCUUCCCCCAGGGCUUCUGGAGCUGUGUAAGCAGGCACAGAAUGAAUUGGGUGCCUUCAAGGGGUCCUAUUCCUUCCACACUCACUACCUUGCUCUCUGUUAGCAUGGCCAAGCAGUGGGGUGGAGUGUGGUUCCAGUUCAGGCUAAGGCUGCUUCUACCCCUGAGAUAUAAAUAGUGAGCCCAGCCAAAAGUAUUACGCAGCUGCCCCUGGAGGUUUGCUGCCACCAACUUGUAUCCCAAGUGGAUAAACAAAGCUCCAACAGGGGUAAAAGCUCUCCCAGUUGAUACAACAUCUGCCAAGAAAUCUUUGAGACCAUGGUUCUCAGGCAUGCUAAGGGCUGCGCUGCCCAUUUCUAUUUUCUUGGCUCUCUUUAACCCCUCCCUUCCAUCCCAAACAAAAAUAGCAGUUAGAUUUUUAAUAGAGGCUUCAACCGAGACUGCUCCUGUUCCCAUCUGGGCUGGUGGAAAGUUCCAUGUGUUGCUGUGCAGAUAUUGCCACGUUUUCAUUGACUCGAGUCCAGUAGAACUAAGAGGAAACAUCUGCAGGGCAGGAUAGCUCUCUGUUUGUCCCAGAAAUUAAUUGCUUCUGCUGGGAGUGUCGAGAAGCUGAAAGCUGUGUGCUAGAGAUGAGGAGUCUAGCAACUCCUGCUAGGCUUCUACUCGUGUUUCCCAAAAUACACUCUGUGCAAUUUACCUUUUUUUUUCUUUUUUCCUUCCUUCCCCAAGUAUCCCAGCCUAAAGGUCUGUUUGACAGAGAGAACCCCCAUGAAGCAGGAGAGGGCCAAGGCAGUAGAUCAGUAGACAUGGCUGAUUUGCUUCUCGUCUUCCUCCAGAUCAGUGUUUACAUUUAGGGUGAUGCACAGAUUAUUUACCAAGCCCGGGAAUCUCAUCAACCAACGUUUCACAACUUACAGUAACGGUUCAACAUUGCAAUUGUGUAGUUUGGGGAGGAGAAGGGGAGCUUGUGUGGCCCUGGGGAUGGGGAUUAAGGCAACGGGGAGGAGAGGUGCUAUGCCAGACGCAGUUGGGCUUCAUAAAAACUUGCUUCAGCACAGCCUGUUGUAGAGACACGUUAGUGGGAACCAGAGCUCACUUUUUUUUUUUGAGGGACUCAGUAUCUUGAUUUGAUGUAGAUAAUAUCUCAUGGAGUUUCUGUCUGUUCUCUGCAAAUAGGGAUUAAAUGGGAUUUACUACCUUGUGCGAGGACUGCCUCCAACUUUUCUUUUAAACUUCAGCAGAUGCUGUUUCCCUCCUCAACGUAGGGAUGUUCUCCAGCCCCGCUGUGGCACUGCUUUACUUUGCCUGUAAUAAGCAGCCAGGGAGCCCCAGAGCUGGGGGAAGAAGUCAGCAAGACUUGAGAGAGACCAACUUUAAUCUGACGAGGCUUUUCGAGGGCAUGGAUUGCUUUCUUCCUGCUGUCUGAUCACACAAUCUUUUCUCUAUUUUGAAAAAAUUAAGGCAUUUCUAAGGCCGAUGCUGAAAUCUUUACAGUCCCUAAUUCGGCAUGCUCAGCCACGUGAAAGCAAGCCA